ACUUUCAACAACGGAUCUCUUGGCUCUCGCAUCGAUGAAGAACGUAGCGAAGUGCGAUAAGUAGUGUGAAUUGCAGAAUUCCAUGAAUCAUCGAAUCUUUGAACGCAAAUUGCACUCUCUUCGGAGAGUAUGCCUGUUUGAGGGUCAGUA
rnacentral:rRNA from 1 species